rnacentral:rRNA from 1 species
CAAGUCGAGCGGCAGCGGGAAAGUAGCUUGCUACUUUUGCCGGCGAGCGGCGGACGGGUGAGUAAUGCCUGGGGAUCUGCCCAGUCGAGGGGGAUAACUACUGGAAACGGUAGCUAAUACCGCAUACGCCCUACGGGGGAAAGCAGGGGACCUUCGGGCCUUGCGCGAUUGGAUGAACCCAGGUGGGAUUAGCUAGUUGGUGAGGUAAUGGCUCACCAAGGCGACGAUCCCUAGCUGGUCUGAGAGGAUGAUCAGCCACACUGGAACUGAGACACGGUCCACACUCCUACGGUAGGCAACAGUGGGGAAUAUUGCACUAUGGGCGAAACCCUGAUGGCAGCCAUG